rnacentral:rRNA from 1 species
GAUGAACGCUGGCGGCGUGCUUAACACAUGCAAGUCGAACGAAGCACUUUAUUUGAUUUCCUUCGGGACUGAUUAUUUUGUGACUGAGUGGCGGACGGGUGAGUAACGCGUGGGUAACCUGCCUUGUACAGGGGGAUAACAGUUGGAAACGGCUGCUAAUACCGCAUAAGCGCACGGCAUCGCAUGAUGCAGUGUGAAAAACUCCGGUGGUAUAAGAUGGACCCGCGUUGGAUUAGCUAGUUGGUGAGGUAACGGCCCACCAAGGCGACGAUCCAUAGCCGACCUGAGAGGGUGACCGGCCACAUUGGGACUGAGACACGGCCCAAACUCCUACGGGAGGCAGCAGUGGGGAAUAUUGCACAAUGGGCGAAAGCCUGAUGCAGCGACGCCGCGUGAGCGAAGAAGUAUUUCGGUAUGUAAAGCUCUAUCAGCAGGGAAGAUAAUGACGGUACCUGACUAAGAAGCACCG